rnacentral:rRNA from 1 species
UAGGGAAUCUUCGGCAAUGGGGGGAACCCUGACCGAGCAACGCCGCGUGAGUGAAGAAGGAUUUCGGUUCGUAAAGCUCUGUUGUUAAGGAAGAACGAGUGUGAGAAUGGAAAGUUCAUACUGUGACGGUACUUAACCAGAAAGGGACGGCUAACUACGUGCCAGCAGCCGCGGUAAUACGUAGGUGGCAAGCGUUAUCCGGAAUUAUUGGGCGUAAAGCGCGCGUAGGCGGUUUUUUAAGUCUGAUGUGAAAGCCCACGGCUCAACCGUGGAGGGUCAUUGGAAACUGGAAAACUUGAGUGCAGAAGAGGAAAGUGGAAUUCCAUGUGUAGCGGUGAAAUGCGCAGAGAUAUGGAGGAACACCAGUGGCGAAGGCGACUUUCUGGUCUGUAACUGACGCUGAUGUGCGAAAGCGUGGGGAUCAAACAGG